rnacentral:rRNA from 1 species
CCUACGGGAGGCAGCAGUAGGGAAUCUUCCGCAAUGGACGAAAGUCUGACGGAGCAACGCCGCGUGAACGAUGAAGGCCUUCGGGUCGUAAAGUUCUGUUGUUAGGGAAGAACAAGUGCUAGUUAAAUAAGCUGGCACCUUGACGGUACCUAACCAGAAAGCCACGGCUAACUACGUGCCAGCAGCCGCGGUAAUACGUAGGUGGCAAGCGUUGUCCGGAAUUAUUGGGCGUAAAGCGCGCGCAGGCGGUUUCUUAAGUCUGAUGUGAAAGCCCCCGGCUCAACCGGGGAGGGUCAUUGGAAACUGGGAAACUUGAGUGCAGAAGAGGAAAGUGGAAUUCCAAGUGUAGCGGUGAAAUGCGUAGAGAUUUGGAGGAACACCAGUGGCGAAGGCGACUUUCUGGUCUGUAACUGACGCUGAGGCGCGAAAGCGUGGGGAGCAAACAGGAUUAGAUACCCUGGUAGUCCACGCUGUAAACGAUGAGUGCUAAGUGUUAGAGGGUUUCCGCCUUUAGUGCUGAAGUUAACGCAUUAAGCACUCCGCCUGGGGAGUCGGUCGCAAGCUGAAACUCAAAUGAAAUUGACGG